rnacentral:rRNA from 1 species
AUGGAGGACGUGAUACCAAAGGUUCUUCGAGAAAUACUACCUCUUGUGUUGAAAGGAAAUGAGACACAAGCAGAAAACGGAAGCCCAAGUUUUCCUUUGCUAGGUCCCACUGACAUUGAAGCCCAAGUUCGUGCUCUUCAAGAUGACGGCCGUACAAACAACACUUCAACUUGUCAGCAAAAUGAUGAGAAGAAAUUGCUCGCAGCUUUACUAUCUCUCACUGCGGCAAUAUUUGACAAAUUGAUCAGCCAACAUCCUAAUUUGUUUGAACUGGUUGAUAAAAUUUCCCCUGGAGAUUCUGCAACAAGCUUUGCCAACAAGCUCAACGGAAUUGGUGCGGGAAAACAGUGA